rnacentral:lncRNA from 1 species
GAGUGAUGAUAUUGGUUUUGGAAGAUCAUAGUGAUGUGUGAUGAUGAAUAAAAGCGAGAGAGAGGUGAGAUGACUUCUUCUUUUCCUCUAUGCAGAGAGCUUUUUUUCUUUUUAAUUUUCUUGUUUUCAUUUGAGAAGGGAUAAGAAAAAUAAAACAAUGGCAAGUGGUGAUUGGUUCUCAUUAUAACGGUAAAUUUUUUGAG